rnacentral:rRNA from 1 species
CUCAAGAAACCUACGAAAGGUAAUUCGGACGGGGGCCCGCACAAGCGGUGGAGCAUGUGGUUUAAUUCGAUGAUACGCGAGGAACCUUACCUGGGCUCAAAUGUAUGUUGACGUAUUCUGAAAGGGAUACUUCUUCGGACAAUAUACAAGGUGCUGCAUGGUUGUCGUCAGCUCGUGCCGUGAGGUGUCGGGUUAAGUCCCAUAACGAGCGCAACCCUAUCAUUAGUUGCCAUCAGGUCAAGCUGGGGACUCUAAUGAAACUGCCUACGCAAGUAGUGAGGAAGGUGGGGAUGACGUCAAAUCAGCACGGCCCUUACGUCCAGGGCUACACACGUGCUACAAUGGCCGGUACAAAGGGCAGCUACCUGGUGACAGGAUGCUAAUCUCAAAAGCCGGUCUCAGUUCGGAUCGGAGUCUGCAACUCGACUGCGUGAAGUCGGAAUCGCUAGUAAUCGUGAAUCAGAAUGUCACGGUGAAUACGUUCCCGGGCCUU